rnacentral:tRNA from 1 species
GGUUUUGACUCAGUGGUAAAGUGCUUGCCUAGCACACAUGAGGCACUGGGUUCAAUCCCCAGCACCA